AUAUGCUGGGUGAAUGGGGAGCGUGAGAUCGAUUUGAAUUGAUCCCAGCCCUUCACUCAUCAGGUUGGUGCCUGAUUAGUAGAGGAUUUUUUUUCGAAGAAAAGGGCAGAGUUCUUCAGGGGAUUUUGGGGAGAAAUUUCGGAGAACUGGAGAGGAUUCCCCAUUUUGAGAGAUUGGAAAAAAGAUUUAAAAAGAACGAUUAUAUCUCUUCUGAUUUUCGUUUUUUUUUGGGUGAAAUUUUGUUUUUCGAGAAAUAAAAAGAAAUGUCCGUUUUCUACCUUGAUUUUGACUUUUUCUUAAAAACCAUGGAAUACGUCUGAGUUUUUUUUUUUCUGGGGAUUUCGAAGUCUUCUGUCGCUGUUCGAGGUUCAUUCCUUGGUGGCUGAAUUUCGUGUUUCCUGUUCGACUUUCACUGGGUUUUUUCGGAUUGACGACUUCGACGCCAGUUACUUGUAUUUUUCUUCCGAACAGAAUUAAUCGAAGUGUAAUUUUCAGGAGCGGCGCGAAUCCGAAUAUUUAACAAAAAUUAUUUUGGCCCAGCCAAACAUACUUACUAUUUUCCUUGCCACGUCAGUUGCACAAACGCUGUACGUCAUUCUAGUCUCAAGAGUUUAACAGUUAUCUGCUACGCGCGCUCGAUAAUUGCCUUUUUCCAACUUGACAGAACUGAACUGAGUGGUAUUAUCUGAUCGGCGCCCGAGAUGAAAGUUCUUCACAUUCCAUGCUUAGAUGACAAUUAUUCCUAUAUGAUCAUAGAUGAAACAACAAAGGAAGCUGCAGUAGUGGACCCAGUGGAGCCACAUAAGGUCCUUAGAGUUGCUCAGGAGAAUGAAGUUGACCUUAAGUUUGUUCUCACAACUCAUCACCACUGGUCCGUUCCACUUCUCUUAUCUUUUUUUUUCUUUUAGUGUUCCGAUAAUAAUGCUCGCUAUCUGAAACCUCUUUUUUUUUUUCAUUUUUAAAUUCUACAUUUUGUUUAGUUUUCUAUUUAUUUCCCAUUUGAUUGUUGAAUUUGGCUGGGUUGUGAGAAUUUCUUGGUUUUUAUUUUAGUUGUUUUUAAUUUCUUUGUUUCCUGAGGCUAGAAAUCGAGAGCACAUGUUUGAUCGUUUUUACCAUAUUAGUGACAGAUCAAAGUUCUUAUAAAGGCACAGCGGAGGCGUUUGGACAAUUUUUGAGUUAUAGUUGAAAAAAAGAGUGUUGGAAGUUGAAGUUGAAAAAACAGUUUGUGGAAAUCGGUGUUUGGACAUGAAAUUCACUUUAAAAAAGAUGGUUGUGAAAGUUGAAACUAAUAUGAAACUUGAAAUACACCUUUACACUAGCGUUCCAAUAUUUCUCAUAUACUGAAUUACAAUAUGCAAAUACUGAAAUAGGAGUUGUAAUCAUAUAUCAUACACAGCGGGCCCUUAUUGACAGAGUCAAAACAGUUUUGGGUGAUAGUCUAAUGCUAUGUUGCGCGGACUCUCCAAAAUGUAGCCGCACCCGUGUCGGAUCCUUCAAAAAUGCACUACUUUUGGAGGAUCCAACACGUAUCCGGCCACAUUUUUUCGGAGAGUCCGAGCAACAUAGGCCUAAUGUAUGAUGAUGGAUCCAUUAUCCUGAAAUGUAAAUUGGAAUUUUCAGAAAUAGCUAUUUCUCAAGUUUACUUUCUUAGAAAAAGCUAUUGUCAAGUUUAUAAAGAAGGGCAAGUGAAUUUUCGCACCUCGCUUACUGGUCGGACGACUGUUGGUGAAGGCAUUGUUUUGUAAUUAGAACAAAAACAUGUGGGACCAUUUGGUCAUAUGUGCAGUUCAAAUGGCAUUAGUUCUCUUUGAAGAACAUGUUUAAUUUUUGUUUGUCAGAUUAAUAAAUGGACAAAAUUGCUCAUUUGAUAGAACUUGAAAAUCCCAAAAUUCUCUUUGUUUCAACCCAAGAAAAGAUGUUGAUAAUAGAUGUAAUUAAGUCCUAAACACAAAUGUAUAAUCUUGCUUAGUUUUCAUUGCAGCGGCAAACUUCUUAGAGCCUGAAGCUAUGUUGGACUUUAUCUGUUCCUUACAUUCCCUGUGAUGAACCUUCCGCAGUGUCUGCUGGUUUACGCCAAUAAAACUUACCCAAAAAAAAAAAAAAGAAAGGAUGCU